UACGGGGGGGGCAAGCGUUGUUCGGAAUUACUGGGCGUAAAGGGCGCGUAGGCGGUCCGCUAAGUUGAAUGUGAAAACUCUGGGCUUAACCCAGAGCCUGCAUUCAAUACUGGCAGGCUAGAGUUCUGGAGGGGAUAGCGGAAUUCCUGGUGUAGCGGUGAAAUGCGUAGAUAUCAGGAGGAACACCGGUGGCGAAGGCGGCUUUCUGGACAGAGUCUGACGCUGAGGCGCGAAAGCUAGGGGAGCAAACAGG
rnacentral:rRNA from 1 species